UCUUGUCAGACAAUUAAGGGGUCUUUGAAUACUUCAGCCCUAAUAAUUUGCUUCCUAACAUACAUAUUGCAGUGCUUAUCUAAUUUUAAAUAUUCUUUUGUUUCAACACCUAAUUUUCUAUUUUGAUCUAUCUUUAUGUUUACAAUAUAUUUUGCUCUGUGUUCAUUCUUUGAUUUCAGAACUUCAAUCUUUCUGAAGCGUGUUUUCAGAGUUUCCUUUGAGUUUCUUUAGUGGAAUUCUGCUGGUGGUAUUUUGUUUUUUGUCUCUAAAUAUGUGAUUUAGCCAUAGGUUGAUGAAUAUUUUUCUUGGUUGAGAAUUUCAGAAUGGCAUUAUUAUUCUUAACAAAUAAUAUUGUUUAUUUUACCUUUCAUGCUUUCAGAUUUCAAUAUGAUUAAAGGUAAUUUGAUUUUUCUAGUGCUAAUUGAAAUAUUUUUCCCUUCCUGAUUGUUUACUAUUUCUCUAGGAGAUAUGUAGAUGUAGGUUUAUCUCCAUCGUAGCUUGCUUAGCAUGCAUAGAAGUUUUGAAUAUGUGGAUUAGUGUCUUACAGAACUCUAGAGAACUUUCAGCCAAAAUACCAUCACAUAUUGUCCCUUCCCCGUUCCCUUCCUCUAUGAGAACACUCACUAAACACAUGCUACACUUUCUCACUGUAUCUUCCAUGUCUCUUCAUGAUUCUGUCCACAUUGUGCCUUUUUUUAAAUUUUCUGUAAUGCAUUCUGAAAUAUUUAUGAGCUCUCACCAUGGCCAUGUCUAAUCUGAUGAGUUCAUUUUUGAGUUUUUAAUUUAAAAUACUAUAUACAAACUACUUUUCAAAUUUACUACAUCAACUUUUUAGUCUCCUAAAAAUAUAUUCCUUUUUUUAAAUUUUUUGAAAGCAAAUGUGCUUUAUAAUCUAACAGUGAUAUUUCUACUAAUGAACCUCUGUGGAUCUGUUUGUACUCUUUUUCUGCUUUCCUUUCAAAUGGUGGAAUAUCAUUUCCUUGCGUACUUAGAUGCCUUUGAAUGACAAAGAUUUAUUUUUCUCUGAAAAUUAUUAUUGUGCACUUUUGCAUAUUAGUAAGAAGAAAAUUUGCCAAAGAGAAUUUGAAUUUUUUGUGAGUCUACUAAAGGCACCACCAUUCUGGGACCACAUUAUAUUAAUUCUUGGCCUAAAGGUGUUUGGACGUAUGUUUGGACAGCACAUUUAAACAAUUUUUAAAUUAAUUGCUGUAAAUCAUUAAUGAUUGAGUUUCUUUAAAUCUGUCCAAUCUCAAGUCAUUUUUAUUUGCCAUUUCCAGGGAAUGUGAAAUGAGACUAAUUUACCUCUGAUUCUUCUUUAUACUGAGGAGAUAAAUUUUGGUGCUAGCUUUAGGGAAGAGCUCCUGUGUGAUGCCCUAUCUUGGGAAACACUAUGUAUUUCUUUACUGUCCUAUGUGAUGUAUGACCAUAGGAAUCUGCACUCAUUCAUUUUGCUACAUGUCCGUAGGGCAAAAUCAGUAUCAGUGUUUAGGUGUAUUUUGUCUGCUCCCUGCAUUCCCAUGGUUUUGACCUUAUCUUUUACUUUUUUUUGUGAACAUACCAAUGCUUCAAUUUUUUUCCAGUAAUAUAAUCAACCAUACUAUAAGAGAAAAAUUUCGAUAAAACACAAAUUUCAUGUUUUCCUACUCUAAUUGGCUUUUACGUAAAAAUACAGGUAAAAUUUAUUUGUGCUUUUUUGCUAUUUCUGUUUUGCUAUUUUCUGUUUGUCUAUGUCUUCACCACAUAGACACAAUUAGGGAAUUUUGUACACUCUUGUGCCAACUGCUUUGAUAGUAACAAAAUGUAUUUCUCGAACUCCUAGGUAUAAAACUCAAGUAUCCACUAUUUAAAUUCUUUUUUGCUCACUUCUAGUAUGUUUCCAGUCUCAAUAGAAAUCGAUGCCAAUCCAGAAAUACAAGCAUUAUUCUAAUACUUCUCACACAUUACUGGAGUGAGGACACAGCGAAAGUGAGACAAGGAAAAGAGAACAAAAUAAAACAGGAAAGACAGAAAAGCCAAUACCACACGUGUUAAGAGUUUCAAGGAAAAUAUGUUGGGAGUUCCUGGCAUAGAGAAUGUCACAAAGACAUGUUUUCAAUAGUAGUGCUAUCCCGAGGGCAGAGAAGACCCAGAGAAAGCCCAAGUGGCUGCUGGAACAAAAUCAGACACCGUGCCACCUGUCCACACUCCUUGGCUCUGCCAUCAUGCUGAAGAUCGCUUUAAAGGACUGGCUUCCCUCCCCCCAAAAUUAAAAGAGCACAGACUGAGAAACUGAAUGUGGGAGACAGCAGUGGAUUAUGCUGUUCUCAGGGGUCACCUCAGGUUUGGAAGCAUUCUUUCAAAUUAACCCAUCUCAGGCCAUCUGCAGAGAAGAAAGGUGGUACCUAACUUUUUUUCUUGUCGGCAUUUGGUAGGGGUGUUUUAUUGACCAAAUAUGUUCCCACAACCUCGUUUUUUGUGACUAACUAAAUAUAGUAGAGUUUUAAAUUUUAUCAUCAAAAUCUAUAGACAAUUUUUGAUGAAAAUAGACUCCAUCUCUAUGUCCUGCUUUUCUUCUUCUUAUUAAUUACAUUGCUGUAUAAAAGAACAAGACUUCAGCAUCAAGAAUAUCUUGUCUCUUGGCAUUGAAUUUAUACAAGGUGCUCUUUCUUUAAUGCUGUCUCAAAGGACAUAUUUUUACUCAUUAAAAAGGAAGAUCGGAAUCUAGUUGUAUGCACUGCUCCAACAUAUUAAUAAUUAAAAUUAGGAGGUAAAUGUGGUCAAAGCUAUAGAAAGACGGAGAUGUCAUUUAUAUGGAUUACUCUAUAGCACUCUACAAACAGAAAUUGUUAAAUAAUAGUUUAUAUAAAUAUUUUGUAGCAUUUCAAAUAUUUGAGUGCUUGAAGUUUCUCCUCUUCUAUAGUUCAGAUUAUCAAUUUGAAGACUUACUCCGCUAGUUAAUAUGUUUUUAGUCUCGUUUGAGUAUUAUAUAAAAGCAAUUUUCAGUUAAAUGUGUUCCGCUUACAUAAAACGUUACAAAUUAUUGAGGAUUUAAUUACUUAUUCAUGUUCCUGUAAUGUCUUUAGAAGAUUUUCUUAUUAUUACCUAUCAAUAUAUGUAUGCUUUGUCAAAGAAAAAUCAAACAUAUAUAUCAUUGAAAUUGAAACUUUUUAAAAGUACUUAUUAAUUCUAUUGAAAAACCACAUCCAUAGGAACAAUUACAAUAUAAUAUUGUGAACAUGUAAACAUAUACCCUAUGUCUAUUUUAUGUAUAAGCAUGUAUGAUUAAAAAUAUAGUGAAGAAUUUUUAAACCUAGUAUUAUAAAGUAAAAAUUAGUUAACUUCCGAUGAUUAUUUGUUAAUUAAGAUAAAAUUAUUUUGAUUUGGGUGAUUUUAAAUAAAGAAAAAUAUUAAAUUACAUGACAAAAAUUCUUUAUAAAAUGUUUAUGAUUUUUACAUUGGUUUUAUCACUUUUCCCACUAUUUUAUUUUAAGAUGACCUGCCUUGUUUAAAACACUGUAUUCAUCUUAGUUAAAUUAGAUUCCAUUUGUAAAAUAAUUAACAAAUGAUUUGCUCUAUUGUACAGUGCGGUUAUAAACUGAGUCAGUAUCUCAAGAUUUGAUCCCCAUUAUCAUCAUCUGUGGCCCUAUUUGUUUUA
rnacentral:lncRNA from 1 species